rnacentral:tRNA from 1 species
GUGUCAGUAGCUCAGUUGGAUAGAGCAACGGCCUUCUAAGCCGUGGGUCGUGGGUUCGAAUCCCUCCUGGCACA